GGUCCGAUGCCACGUCGCCGGUAGCAAAAAUGAAAAAGCGGUGACCGGCGAUGCUAUGAUUGGACCGAAAUAAAUCUAAUGCUUCGCCUUCUGAUAGGAACCCGUGGAUCUCAACUUUUGUGAUCCACGGUGCCGUUUUCGGCGAUUACAUUC